rnacentral:rRNA from 1 species
UGGCGGCGUGCUUAACACAUGCAAGUCGAACGGUGAAGCCAAGCUUGCUUGGUGGAUCAGUGGCGAACGGGUGAGUAACACGUGAGCAACCUGCCCUGGACUCUGGGAUAAGCGCUGGAAACGGCGUCUAAUACUGGAUAUGAGACGUGAUCGCAUGGUCGUGUUUGGAAAGAUUUUUCGGUCUGGGAUGGGCUCGCGGCCUAUCAGCUUGUUGGUGAGGUAAUGGCUCACCAAGGCGUCGACGGGUAGCCGGCCUGAGAGGGUGACCGGCCACACUGGGACUGAGACACGGCCCAGACUCCUACGGGAGGCAGCAGUGGGGAAUAUUGAACAAUGGGCGGAAGCCUGAUGCAGCAACGCCGCGUGAGGGAUGACGGCCUUCGGGUUGUAAACCUCUUUUAGCAGGGAAGAAGCGAAAGUGACGGUACCUGCAGAAAAAGCGCCGGCUAACUACGUGCC